CGAUCAGAAAGGUUUUCGCAGUCGUUGAGAGUGGUACUGUUUUUAGAGUCUCUGGCAAAGUCUGAAGUGUGUAGUUGUUGCAAUAGUAGAAAAAAAAGUACAAGUCAGUAUUUUCCAUAUAUGGAGAGUGCAAAUAGUUGGCAGAUAGUGGAAGCUGAAAGUUGGUUCAUCUGAUCGUUUGGGUUUUCACGGUUCGAACACUGCAGUGCGAGAGUCCUAAAGCAGUACCAAAUGAGACAGUGAUGCACCUUUCCGACCAUCCGACCAUCGGGGCUUGCUCUCUAUCGGCUGGAUGUCGUCUGGAAACUGAAACCUAAUCUUGAUUUUGCUUUCAGAUAGAACUCUCGCCGCAGAGUUCUGAAAGGGGGCGUACCUAGAGAAGCGUCACCAAGCGUUAUCACAAUCCUUGUUGUGAGAAAGAAAAUGUAACAAUGACACUCCCCGGUGUGGGUUCGGAGAAGAUCAUCUGUGGCUUCAUCCGUGAUUCGUCGUCGUUCGAUCGUCCGAGCAGCGCGGGGUGUACCUACUCGAGAACCGAUCGCGAUGAGAGCGAGAACGAACGUGUACGCAUGAUAAAAGAGCGAGAGAGCGAGUGCGAUAACACAUGAGUCAAAGGGAAGAGGCCUUCGUGCUGCUGCCCGCCGCUGCUGGCGCUGUGUGCGUCGAGCUGGUGUUUUCCGGUGCAGUGUUGUGACAAAUGCUGCCAACUGGCCAACUGCCGCGUCUCCGUUUCGGAAGGACCUGGUACCCCCAAGCGUCCAUCCGUCGAGCGUGCAGCGUGUCUCGGUGGUACCCACGCGUCACAUCAAACACGGAUCCACGAGCGAAACCCCAAGUUCCCCCCGAAGCCUCCGAGCUGAAACGAACUACGGCAGCAAGCGGCGACAGCGUCAAGGCAACGACCGAGUGCUCAACCUCCAAGACCCGAAGCUUCCCCCCGAAAGUCUGGCAGGAAAGUGUAGUGUAAAUUUUAGUGUUUUCAGUGAGUACGGACAGCAUGCAUUCUUUUGGCAAUAAUUCGAGUAGUUUCCCUCAUACAAACCCUUCCUAAGCUUGUAUGUGGAACAGAGUGAUGGAAAGUGGCUCUCGGUGGGGAUUCGACCACCGAGACGCCCGGGUGUGUUUUCUUAACCUGAUUUUCUAUUUUCCAUGAACCAUGAAUUGUGGCUACGGAAGAGCCAAGCAGCACGGCGCGCUUACGCAACACACCUCACGAGCAGGCAGGUUUUCAUUUUCAGCAAUGCACUUUCAACAGAGCGCAGCGCAGAGAACGUCUAGUAAAAAGUGGGUCUCAGGCGAAGAAGCAAACAGCAUUAGGCAAUGAGAGAAAGAGUGAGAGGGAGAAAACAAGCGAAGCAAAUGGGGUCAUCAGGUGCAGCAGAGUAGGAGAAAGGAAAUCGAAACGUUUGAAAGCGGCGAUCGAAACCGAAAGAGCAUAGCGGUAACUAGCGCUGAUUUUUUCCAAUUUGCAACCAGUUUUUUCGGAAUUUCUAGCAGCGGAACAUGUCUACAAGUAGUUGAGCAACAGACAGCAGAAGAUUGGGGCUUGAAUAAGCGAAGCUGCAGAGCGAGACGCUGCGUUCAUAGACGCGUGUCAUCAAACUACGGCUCCCCAUUCGAAAUUAGACAGAGUUGUGAACGUGUCCGGACGUGCACUGUUCGUGAUUAAAACAGGCCGUUAAGUGAGCGACACAGGAAAUGAAACUUACUUUCAUUUUGCAAACCGGAGAAGAUCGAGGUAAAGUGCUACACACUUUUACAACCCAACGCACGUAUUUGUUUUCUUACAGAAACGGAAAGUUGAAGCAAGUUUGCGCUUGAUACAUUGAGUGUCAUAGUGAGUUAGUACUCCUCGAAAGUUCGUGAUAGGAGAAUUCCAGUUUGUACCAACAGGCAAGGAAAUGAAAGUUGGGACGUAGUGUCCAUUACUAGGCUAGAUUAGCUACCAGAUACCAGGCUCGGUCCUGUGUUCACCUAACAAACAACCAGAACUUUUAGAUUAUUUGCAGCGAUAUCCCUAGAAACCCUAUAGACCUCGACAGUUCUAUCCCAACUAUCCAUCUAUCGGCGAAAAGCCAAACCCUUUGGAGGAUCCCCUCGGCGAAGUCUUCAUUCACCACACAGAAAAAAAGCGACCAACAUGGCGGUAAAAGAAUCUAAAAUCGACAUGCAAAACCACGAGUUUUCAUCUUAUUGCAGCGCAACCAAAACACGGUCCGGCUCCCGUCAGCCGAGUUUCUCUGUUUAUUGUUUCUGUUCUUUUGCAUUCCUCAUCUCCCGAUGUCGCGCCAAUAGAUCCUCCGGGAAGGACGCACGAGCAAACGAACGAGAGACGUGACCAAUCGGAGCUUUCUUUCUUUUCCGGUCCGGCCCCCCCGGUGGCCGAGUUUCUCUGUUUCUACCUAUUUUUUUCUCACCCUCUCUCUAUCGAAAUCCUUGAAACGGGACUGGCCGGAAGUUUCCUCCUCCUGGAUGACGACCGAAUAUGCAAGACAUGAACCAUUGCGUCGCGGCCUGCGAACCCAAUUGGAGCUCGGUAAUCGAAAGCGUACAAUACUACCCUCGCAAAACCCGAGUUUUCAUCUUUCCAGUCCCGAUGGAUGGUCCGGCUGUCCGCUGACGCGGAAGCCGAGUUUCUAUGUUUUUGUUUCGCUUUCUUUUUCUGACACUUCCAAAUUCCAACCAAAACCAUCAUCCGGAAUGAAUACGACCCCGCGGAGGAACGGAACCCGCUUUAGUCCUACAGUUCCCGGAACUGGACGCGCGAUCGAAACCGGAUGAAAAGGACGAACGACCGCCUCGGAAGGGACCACUCCCGUCAGGCCCUGGCCUCCUCGUCUUUCUUUCUCAACUCCGGUCCGGCUCUCAUAACCAGCCGAGUUUCUGUGUUUUUCUUUUGUUUUCUCUUAUUUUCAACACCCGCGGUCUAAUCAUGCAAUAUUAUAAACAAACAAAGAAUCACCAAAAACAUCAGAACAUCUAUCACUGAGAUAGGAAAGGAAAAAGAGAGGAAUCACAUAGGGAGAGAGAGAGGUAGAGAAACUAAGACAGAACACAGAGCGAGAGAUCAGCAAUCAACUUUAUUUGCGACGCAGUAGGCUUCGUGUGACACAGCGACGACGGAAUUUUCGGUAACCUUGACAACAGAUACCUUCGCAACCAGAAUCUUCGUUUUCUUUUGCAGUUGCGCCCAACGAGUAGCCUUGUGCAGUUUAUUUUUCUCUUAGCUCCAGAAAGAGACAAUCGACAUACACGUUUUCGUUUAGAUAAAUGGGAGGAGUUCGUCAUCAGGAGUACAGUUCUGAGUGCGGCAUUUCAGCGGCCUCGAACGGCGCCCGUCCAACCGUAAGCUUAAUCCAAUUAGUUCGUACAACCAGAAUUUGCGAAUUUUUGCAGCAAACAAUGGCAAAUGGCGACUUCGUCGUGCGACCAACAACCUUGGUACCAGAACCAGACACAAAAAUUUGACGCAUCGCAGCCACAUCUUGGCAUGGAGCGCGCGUUUCAUCCCUGAACGUAAGCAAAUGCAUUUCCCCUCCCGACAACCAGAAUUUUCGUACUUUGCAGCUAGAGAAAUUGACAAACGGUAGAAAUUGCGCGUCGGAAGACACAACCUAUGUAGGGGUCAACCAGCAGGCCAUGCCGAAAUUGCGCAGUUGCCAGCGAAACACACUCGAAACGGAAUUUGCGGUAAUCCAGAGUUGAAAUUUUUCCCCCGACAACACGAGUUUUAGUUUAUUGCAGAAUCAAAAAAACAAAAUGAGUAAGACGUAACAUGUAAACAAUCCGACCGAUGUGGCGUUAUUCGAAAUUGUGUGACCAUGGGUAGAUCCGUGCGUGUGCGUGUUAGGCCUUUUUGGCGGUUCGCCCUUCCCCUGAACGAUUAUCAUCACAACCCACCACCACAACCACCAGUGCAGUGCAGGAACAACCAUUAUUGUUCGUUACCGUUUCAGCGGAAACCUUCAUCUGGCUUUUCUUGUGCCGUCAGCAUUUUGCGUCGUGUGCGUGCUUCUAAUGCGGGAUCUUGUGCCAGCCUUUGUUUUUGAGAGCUGCGGUUAUGCGUAUUGUUUAGCGAUUCGGAUGUAACAGUCCGAUUUUCCAAGAGUUCGGGAGAGCAUGUGGUGGUAGCUAUGCUAAUUAUUUUACCUUAAUUCCUUAUAUCUCUAUUCUACAUUUUUUUUGUCCUAAAAAUAAUCUAAUAAUUCACCUAGAAGUGGUAGUAAUCGACCGCUUUGUCGACGUUCGUCAACAAGCGGGGUUUGUUUUAUUAUUAAACACGUAAUUUAUCUUUUACAGAAAAAAGUGAACGGCAAUUGUUACUACAUUCUAAUUGUAAUACUAGUGUUUGAAGUGGUUUAUUCGUUAUUGGUUAUUUGUAUACUGAUUGUGAGAUUAUAACUUAGAAAUUAGAAGUACGAAAAAAUUGUACAAUCGCUUGAACUAAGCAAGCUAUGUUUUGGGCUUUAUGUAACAUUUCUAUUAUAUUGUAUACAUUUAUAUUUACACACAUGUGGUUCAAUUUCUAUACUAGAAAGUGUUAUGCUUCACCUCUAUUGUGUAUAAUCUAUCAGAAAAAUUAUUAUCCUUCACUUAAGAAUGCUUUUGUGUGUUAAAAGCACCGAAGAAAAAAUAUAAUACCAUUCUUCUAGAAAGUGCAAAUGUUUACGAAACCGAAGAAACUAGCACCUAAAAGUGACUGACAUGUAGUAGUUUGUUUUAUUUCCUAUCGCAUAACUAACCCCGGCACCUAUCGAUGUAAUUGCCAUUGUGUAGUGCUUGCAAACGAAAAUGCAGAAGAAAUGAAAAGCAUUAUUUUAUAACGAAAACCACAAAGUAGAAUCUACUGUGUCGUCGAAGUUCCAAAGGCGAUGAAGCUGAAUUACGUUUGAAGCGAACAUGUGAAUGAAAUUUCUAUGCUUUGUAAAAUUGUAAACAACAAACAGAGCUGCGACUUCUGUGAAGUUCCCGGCACGUACCAAUCUAACCAUUUUGUGAUAAAAAGAAAAAGGGCAAAUUUCGCUCGGUGUUGCUCUGCAUCGCCCAGCACGGAUAGGAAAUUUGCGGCGAAUCGAAUGCGUGGCUACUCGCUCGGUGUCCCAUGGGCACCCAGCACCCCCCUUCUCUUUAAAAACCAUGAGUAGCGUGACAAUUGAAAAGUAAUAAAACAAAUGUGAAAAAUUGUGUGCUUGGUGUUGUGUGAAUCGCCCAGCCUUGAAAUAAAACCAAAAAAAAUGUACAUGGAAAAAGAUUGAAAGUUUGUAAAGUUUUACCUCUGUGAUUUGAUUCAGUGCAGUUGAAACUGACAACUAAUGACGUUUAUGUUUACUUUCUACACUAGUGUUAUUGUGAUUUAUGAUUGCUAAGUUGCUUUCAAUAAGAGCUAAAGUAUGUGAUUUCAAAGUGUACUGAUUUUCUAAUAUGCCUUUGAAAAGUGGAAUCUAUUGUAUUGUAUACUAGAAAACAAAUGUAUGUGUAUUUUGAUUUGUUUUGAUCGAAAGUAUAUGCAAAAUGUAUGUUUUUUUUUUAAUGUUUAAUAGAAUGUUCACCCGCCUUACGAGCGGAAAACGUUGAUUUGUACAGUGAUGUGACAUGAAUACGCUGAGAAGAAGCGUCAUUAUUCUAACCAAAAUGCUGUUAUGUGAUUUUAAUUAAGCUUGGAUUUGUAACUUGCCUUAUAAUGUUUCUAUUUAUCUGAUGUAUUGUAAUGCCAUUUAGUGCACAUUCAUACGCAAACAAGUGUAUAUUAUUAUGUUUUAUCCAUACCGUACGAAGUUGGAGCAUGCGUUACAAGUAGUUCAUACACCCACAACCCCAUCAUAUACGUCCGCAAGCAUCUGUGAUUCACCCCGACCAAAAGGCAUCCGUCGCGCAAGGACGUGGCCGUGGCAAAUGCGAACCCUGCAGUCAGCCGCUUCAAUCUUCCUUCCCCGGUUUGGCGCAGAGAUUUGCGAACACCUGCUUCUAUCGCUACUACUACUACUACUACUACUACCACUUCAUAAUUGGUUCAUCCCCGCACGGACGAGGCCGAAACUUUGCACGAAAACAUUCCGUCUGUUGCAUUCCUUUUAUCACACACUGAUGCUGGAUGUCAUCCACGCAAGCACGCACGCACCGCAUAAGAAGACCUAAACGCACCCCGACGAGAUCGGUUCCGGCGCAGUUUCCGAACACUGACCACACGAGUAGGGUUGUCCCCCCGAAGAGUACGCACACGAAUCGAAUACCAGAGAGAGAGAGCGAGAACGCGACACACAGUCCGGUAACGUCCGCCUUUUGUUUUGCAUAACCAUGUGGGAGUGGGUUCUUUCUUUUAUUUUCAGAUGGGCACUUGGCCCCGUUUCCUACUAGCUAGGGUGGUUCAUUAUGGGUUCCUUGUAUCUUGGGUACGAUCGUUUGAGUGAUCCGAAGGGCUUUCGACGCCGCUCGUAGGCUGAUGUUGGCAACGGCGGUCACACUCGUCAUCCCUCUUCUGCGAAGUAGGCUCUGAUGACUUGCGAUUUGUUUUCCACCGUGGCAUCACCCGUACCACUGACUACGUGCUGAUGGCUGCGUCAUGGAUUUGGCUUCGUCCGCCUUCCCUUCGAGCGGAAUUACUGAUGAGGCAGAUUUUUUGAAACGAGGAAAAUGUCCCCCCUGGAAGAAGUGAUAGGAAAUUCCCCCAACUUGAGGGUCAAGUUUUAGGAGCAGUGAAGUGAGAGUGAACAGUGAAUUAAGAGGAGAGUUUUUAUUCCCAAAUGAGAAGGCGUUUUGCACCCCCUGAGGAAAUUUUUGAAAAAGUGUUUAAUUUAUCCUGGCCAGCCUACCGAAGGGCUUUGAUGCGUUUGAGGAGGCUGUAUUUCGUAAACAAAUGUCGCCAAUGACAUAAGGCAACCCGAUUUGAAACGGCGUGAUACGCUACUUAACGAGGAAUAGUCAAUCAUCUGUUUGGAGACAUCGAUACGUUUUGAAACGUAAAUGGGUUCUACCCCAUUGUACGGAAUAGACAACGAGUUUAGCAACAGAAACUUCAAGCAUUCAUGAGAUGAAUUCCAACGCACCUGGAUCCAUUCUCAAUGAUACAAAAUCAAGAAUCAUCUAACUCUACGACAAAUUGUGUGAUAUUCUAGUCAAAUGGUGGGAUGAAUUCCAUUUUCAACCGGAUUCAUUCCAAUGCCAUGCACAUGGGUGCCAGCAUCUUUCUACAGAACUCAAAAUGUGGUCCAUAUGAAUUCCCGUCCCUAAUGGGGUUCAUCCGAUAGAAGUGAAUAACGAAUAACAAUCAACCGAGUACACUUUGAGAUGAAUUCCCGCGUCCAAUGGGGUUCAUCUUCAAAUGAAUGAUGCACCAAUCAACCGAGCAGUAUCUGAGCUGAAUUCCCGCACCCAAUGGGGUUCACUCGCUAUCGCUAAAAUGUUCAACCGAGCAUAACAUCAUCGACCAAGUCCCGACAGGUUGUUGAGAUAAAUUUCAAACCUACCUGAAGUUUAUUCUCGUUCGCCAGUUCCUAUGGCACACAUUCAGUCGCAGGAACGAAUUCCCACAUCCAAUGGGAUUCAUUCAACCGAGUCGGCAAUUCAAUGGAGUGCAGUAAUUUACCAAUGGUUAAUUGUGAAUAGUGUACCAACCGAGAUGAACACCCGCCUUCAUUCAGGAGUUCAUUCUCGAUCGUCACAGUCGCUAGCAGUUCAUCCAUAUUUUGCGAACGAACACCCACGCCCAAUGGGGUUCAUUCCGGAUUCGUUCAUUGGAGUAUGACAGCAUCGAAGGGCUUGAGUCCCGUUCAUCAACAGGAGAGCCAUCGAAAUGAGAUUCAGUUGUGGAAACAGUUCAAGUGGUGAAAAGGCCUUUUCGGUCUUCGUUCGAAGAUUCGAGCACCGUUCAACCAAGAUGAAUUCCCGAGUCCAAGUCCAGGGGUUCAUUCCUGAGAACGUGAAAAUGUGAUGCAAAAAUUGAAGCUUCUACCAGUGAAAAGGAUUUUUCCAUUCAAAGACUCAGUUUAGACUCGCAAAAAUGAAAGUGAAAGUGAUACAAAUCCACUGAAAGCAUAAUGUCGAUAUUAUCAAAAUGAACACUGAGCUCAUUGCCAAAUUUUAAAGUCUUGAAGUCCAAUUUUACCAAAGUCUGUGAUGAUUUCCGCUACUUAUGGAUUCAUCCUUCAGCGCCGCCAUAAUGGUUUCAACGACAAAAA